rnacentral:lncRNA from 1 species
UAUCAAGCAAUCUAUUUAUAUAUGACAGGGAGGGUUUGAUUUCUGGAAGGAGUGACAACCCAAUGAAAUAACUGCUUGCCUUCAAAAUUACUGUAGUCUAAAUGUAUACACUUUAGAACACAAUUUUAAAUUACAAUUAACAAAAUGUAGAUAAAUAUGUGUGGGAAUCAAUACUGACACAGAAUUGAGAAAGAAGAAAUAAUAUGUAAAGAUACGAAGAGGUUUCUGAGUGUUGUCAGCACCCUGCCUCUGAAAAACUGAGUGAAGGAAGCAAAGGAUAUUUCUCUGAGAAUUCCAGGAAAGGUUUCUUCCUGGAAUGAUGGAAAUUUGUAUCUCUGAAUGCCAAACUGAUCAUGCACAGGGAGAGGAAAUGGCCUGAUCUACUGUGUUUCUACCAAGGGACUAAGAUAUUUUGUCAUGAAAACUCCAAGACUUCAACAGUUUACAUUUAAAGUAAGUAUUUUUUUCCUUUUAAGCUCUCAGCAUAUUAAACAGCCACCAAAA